rnacentral:rRNA from 1 species
GUGCCAGCAGCCGCGGUAAAACGUAGGGGGCAAGCGUUACCCGGAAUUACUGGGCGUAAAGGGCAUGUAGGCGGCUCGGUCCGUCGUCGGUGAAAGGCCCCGGCUUAACCGGGGAGCCGCUGACGAUACCGCCGGGCUAGAGGGCAGCAGAGGUGAGCGGAAUUCCCGGCGUAGCGUUGAUAUGCGUAGAGUUCGGGAGGAACACCAGUGGCGAAGGCGGCUCACUGGGCUGUACCUGACGCUCAGGUGCGAAAGCGUGGGGAGCAAACAGGAUUAGAUACCCUGGUAGUCCACGCCCUAAACGAUGGAUACUAGGUAUGGGGGGUAUCGACCCCCUCCGUGCCGGAGCUUACGCGUUAAGUAUCCCGCCUGGGGAGUACGGCCGCAAGGCUAAAACUCAAAUGAAUUGACGG